rnacentral:rRNA from 1 species
UACGUAGGGUGCAAGCGUUGUCCGGAAUUAUUGGGCGUAAAGAGCUCGUAGGCGGUUUGUCGCGUCGAUCGUGAAAACUUGGGGCUUAACCCUGAGCUUGCGGUCGAUACGGGCAUGACUGGAGUUCGGCAGGGGAGACUGGAAUUCCUGGUGUAGCGGUGAAAUGCGCAGAUAUCAGGAGGAACACCUGCGGCGAAGGCGGGUUGCUGGGCUGAUACUGACGCUGAGGCGCGAAAGCCAGGGAGCGAACGGG